ensembl:antisense Gm11280 predicted gene 11280
GGACUCCAGUCUUGUGACGCACUCCAAGGAUCCUGGUUCCAGAUGACCUGGGAUGGUCAUCAAAACUCAGGCUAGCCAGCCGACCCAUCACGCAGGCGCAGCGAUCGUUGACUUGGCAGCGAACGAAGCAAUUCCAGGCUUGGGCGCCGGUCACAUGGCAUAUAAUAAAUACCGGAAACAAUACUGUACUCAGAGGCUAAGGGAACUUUAGAAACUUCCAGUACUGUCCCUGAACUACUUGUACUGCCUCAUCCUCGUUAGUAUAGUG